GGUUUGAAGAAUGUUUUAAGUUUGGUUUGGUUUGGUGUGUAGGAAAGUACAUGUGUGCUCCGGAUGAUAUACAACCCGUUACAAUCUAUGUACAUGUUUUAGAAGGUGAAGUAUCCUCCCAGCUGCAUACAUCUGGAGGAUCAGGGUUGUUAGUUCCAAUCUUAUCCUUAGUAUUUACUGCUGGGGUCCUAGCUACUAUCAUUAUUAUCAGAACAGUGUAUACAAUACGUUCGAGAAAUCUAACAAUACCUGAGUAGGUUGUUCAUCAUGCUUCAUAGUUUGUUCGCAAAAUCUAACAAUACCAGAGUAGAUCGUUCAUCAUGUCUCAAAGUCUGUUCGAGAAAUCUAACAAAAUCAGAGCAGAUUGUUAAUUAUAAAUCACAAUUUGUUCUAGACAUCAAACAUUACUAUAGUAGAUUGUUCAUCAUGCAGGUUUUUUCGAGAAAUCAAACAAAAUCAGAAUAGAUUGUUAACUAUGCCAAUCUGAUCGAGAUAUUUAACGUUGCAUGAGAAGAAUUUGACACACAAGUGAAAAUUCAAAAUAUGUUUAAAAAACCAGCGUUACUACAUACAAUGCAAAAAACUGUAUAAAGUUAUGGUAGUUAUUACGCCAUCGCUGGGAUAAGUCUGACACCUUAUGUUUACAAAAACGUCGUAGAUUUUUGAACAUAAAUAUGUAUUAUUAUAGUUUUUAUGAUAAUUUAUAAUUUGGGACAACAAACGUUAUCUUAGGUAACCUUUCAUUUUACAUAUUCGGACUAGGAUUGACCAUUUUUCUUUUAGGAAUCCACGAAUGGUUUUCUAAAAAUAAAUUCAAAGUUUUAACCUUACCGGUGUAAAUCGCAGAUGACACCUUUUAAAUGAAGGCUAUUUUAAAUAACGUUUCUUGCUCCUGUAAUGAUUUUUUCUUCAUGAUAGUACACAAAUGUAAUUAGUGUCAAUUCAGAAAUAUUCAGAUUUAAUACAGAUUUUUUAAUAAUAACUUUAUCAAAAAAUUGUUUUGAAGAAACUUCAAAAUAGAAAUAAAAACUUCAUUUCUUGAUUUUUUUUACUUGCCUGGCUUGCUUUCUUCUCAACUUAUUAAAAUGACAAAUAUUGAGGUACAUUUACAUGUAUAUAUAUAUGUACAUUUACAUAUAUAUAUAUACGUAAAUUUAUGUAAGUGCAGUUGUGAACAAAGUUUAUUGUACAUGCAAACCAUGUAUUACAUAAAAACAUGACAAUCAUAAAAUAUACAUACAAUACAUGUAGUUUU